GACGAACGCUGGCGGCGUGCUUAACACAUGCAAGUCGAACGGAAAGGCCCUGCUUUUGUGGGGUGCUCGAGUGGCGAACGGGUGAGUAACACGUGAGUAACCUGCCCUUGACUUUGGGAUAACUUCAGGAAACUGGGGCUAAUACCGGAUAGGAGCUCCUGCUGCAUGGUGGGGGUUGGAACGUUUGGGCGGGUGGGGAUGGAUUGGCGGCUUAUCGGCUUGUUGGUGGGGUAGUGGAUUGCCAAGGCAUUGACGGGUAGCCGGCCUGGGAGGGUGACCGGCCACAUUGGGACUGAGAUACGGCCCAGACUCCUACGGUAGACAGAAGUGGGGAAUAUUGCACAAUGGGCGGAAGCCGGAUGCAGCAACGCCGCGUGCGGGAUGACGGCCUUCGGGUUGUAAACCGCUUUCGCCUGUGACGAAGCGUGAGUGACGGUAAUGGGUAAAGAAGCACCGGCUAACUACGUG
rnacentral:rRNA from 1 species